AUUGAACGCUGGCGGCAUGCCUUACACAUGCAAGUCGAACGGCAGCACGGGGGGCAACCCCUGGUGGCGAGUGGCGAACGGGUGAGUAAUGUAUCGGAACGUACCCUGCAGCGGGGGAUAACGCGUCGAAAGAUGUGCUAAUACCGCAUACGCUCUACGGAGGAAAGCGGAGGACCGCAAGGCUUCGCACUGCAGGAGCGGCCGAUAUCGGAUUAGCUAGUUGGCGGGGUAACGGCCCACCAAGGCGACGAUCCGUAGCUGGUCUGAGAGGACGAUCAGCCACACUGGAACUGACACACGGUCCAGACUCCUACGGGAGGCAGCAGUGGGGAAUUUUGGACAAUGGGCGCAAGCCUGAUCCAGCCAUGCCGCGUGAGUGAAGAAGGCCUUCGGGUUGUAAAGCUCUUUCGGCGGGGACGAAACGGUUCGUGCUAACACCACGGACUAAUGACGGUACCCGAAGAGGAAGCACCGGCUAACUACGUGC
rnacentral:rRNA from 1 species